GACGAACGCUGGCGGCGUGCUUAACACAUGCAAGUCGAACGGUGAAGCGCUUUCCUUUUUGGUUGGUGUGGAUGAGUGGCGAACGGGUGAGUAACACGUGAGUAACCUGCCCCCUUCUUCUGGAUAACCGCAUGAAAGUGUGGCUAAUACGGGAUAUUCUGCGCCUGCUGCAUGGUGGGUGUGGGAAAGAUUGUGCCUUUGGGUGUUUUCGGUGGGGGAUGGGCUCGCGGCCUAUCAGCUUGUUGGUGGGGUGAUGGCCUACCAAGGCGGUGACGGGUAGCCGGCCUGAGAGGGUGGACGGUCACACUGGGACUGAGACACGGCCCAGACUCCUACGGGAGGCAGCAGUGGGGAAUAUUGCACAAUGGGCGCAAGCCUGAUGCAGCGACGCCGCGUGAGGGAUGGAGGCCUUCGGGUUGUGAACCUCUUUCGCCAGUGAAGCAGGCCUGCCCCUGGUGGGUGGGUAGACGGUAGCUGGAUAAGAAGCGCCGGCUAAUAC
rnacentral:rRNA from 1 species